rnacentral:rRNA from 1 species
UACGAAGGGUGCAAGCGUUACUCGGAAUUACUGGGCGUAAAGCGUGCGUAGGUGGUUUGUUAAGUCUGAUGUGAAAGCCCUGGGCUCAACCUGGGAACUGCAUUGGAAACUGGCUUACUAGAGUGCGGUAGAGGGGUGUGGAAUUCCCGGUGUAGCAGUGAAAUGCGUAGAUAUCCGGAGGAACACCGGUGGCGAAGGCGGCAUCCUGGACCGGCAUUGACGCUGAGGAACGAAAGCUAGGGGAGCGAAAGGG